UUUAGGGGGAAGUCGGUGAUCCUAUGCUGCCAAGAAAAUCUUCUAGCGAGGUUCGAGCCGCCCGUACCCCAAACCGACUCAGGUGGUUAGGUAGAGAAUACCAAGGCGAUCGAGUGAAUCGUGGUUAAGGAAUUCGGCAAAAUACCCCCGUAACUUCGGGAGAAGGGGGGCCCAGAGGGUGACGGGACUUGCUCCCCGAGCCUGAACGGCCGCAGAGACCAGGGAGAAGCGACUGUUUACUAAAAACACAGGUCCGUGCCAAGUCGCAAGACGAUGUAUACGGACUGACGCCUGCCCGGUGCUGGAACGUUAAGGGGACCGGUUAGCCUCACGGCGAAGCUGAGAACUUAAGCGCCAGUAAACGGCGGUGGUAACUAUAACCAUCCUAAGGUAGCGAAAUUCCUUGUCGGGUAAGUUCCGACCUGCACGAAUGGCGUAACGAUUUCUCCACUGUCUCAACCACGAACUCGGCGAAAUUGCACUACGAGUAAAGAUGCUCGUUACGCGCAGAAGGACGGAAAGACCCCGGGAUCUUUACUACAGCUUGGUAUUGGUGUUCGGUACGGCUUGUGUAGGAUAGGUGGGAGACUGUGAAGCUGACACGCCAGUGUCGGUGGAGUCAACGUUGAAAUACCACUCUGGUCGUUCUGGAUAUCUAACCUAGGUCCGUGAUCCGGAUCAGGGACAGUGCCUGGUGGGUAGUUUAACUGGGGCGGUUGCCUCCUAAAAGGUAACGGAGGCGCCCAAAGGUUCCCUCAGCCUGGUUGGCAAUCAGGUUUUGAGUGUAAGUGCACAAGGGAGCUUGACUGUGAGACUGACAAGUCGAACAGGGACGAAAGUCGGGACUAGUGAUCCGGCGGUGGCUUGUGGAAGCGCCGUCGCUCAACGGAUAAAAGGUACCCCGGGGAUAACAGGCUGAUCUUGCCCAAGAGUCCAUAUCGACGGCAUGGUUUGGCACCUCGAUGUCGGCUCGUCGCAUCCUGGGGCUGGAGUAGGUCCCAAGGGUUGGGCUGUUCGCCCAUUAAAGCGGUACGCGAGCUGGGUUUAGAACGUCGUGAGACAGUUCGGUCCCUAUCCUCUGCGCGCGCAGGAAACUUGAGAAGGGCUGUCCCUAGUACGAGAGGACCGGGAUGGACGAACCUCUGGUGUGUCAGUUGUUCUGCCAAGAGCACCGCUGAUUAGCUACGUUCGGGAGUGAUAACCGCUGAAAGCAUCUAAGCGGGAAGCAUGCUUCAAGAUGAGGUUUCCAUGGGGUUUACCCCGAGGGGCUCCCAGCUAGACUACUGGGUUGAUAGGCCGGAUGUGGAAGUGCGGUAACGCAUGGAGCUGACCGGUACUAAUAAGCCGAUAACUUGUC
rnacentral:rRNA from 1 species